ACGGGGUGCAGCAGGCGCGAAAACUUUACAAUGCGGGAAACCGCGAUAAGGGGACACCGAGUGCCAGCAUUUAUGUUGGCUGUCCACAUGUGUAAACGGCAUGUGUUAGCAAGGGCCGGGCAAGACCGGUGCCAGCCGCCGCGGUAACACCGGCGGCCCGAGUGGUAAUCACUUUUAUUGGGUCUAAAGGGUCCGUAGCCGGUUUGAUCAGUUCUUCGGGAAAUCUGACAGCUCAACUGUUAGGCUUCCGGGGAAUACUGUCAGACUUGGGACCGGGAGAGGUAAGAGGUACUACAGGGGUAGGAGUGAAAUCUUGUAAUCCCUGUGGGACCACCAGUGGCGAAGGCGUCUUACCAGAACGGGUCCGACGGUGAGGGACGAAAGCUGGGGGCACGAACCGGAUUAGAUACCCGGGUAGUCCCAGCCGUAAAUGAUGUUCGCUAGGUGUCAGGGGCGGUGCGACCGCUUCUGGUGCCGUAGGGAAGCCGUGAAGCGAACCACCUGGGAAGUACGGCCGCAAGGCUGAAACUUAAAGGAAUUGGCGGGGGAGCACUACAACGGGUGGAGCCUGCGGUUUAAUUGGACUCAACGCCGGAAAACUCACCGGGGGCGACAGCAAGAUGUAGGUCAAGCUAAAGACUUUACCUGAAUCGCUGAGAGGAGGUGCAUGGC
rnacentral:rRNA from 1 species